AGCGAACGCUGGCGGCAGGCCUAACACAUGCAAGUCGAGCGCCCGUAGCAAUACGGGAGCGGCAGACGGGAGAGUAACACGUGGGAACGUACCCUUUGGUUCGGAACAACACAGGGAAACUUGUGCUAAUACCGGAUAAGCCCUUACGGGGAAAGAUUAUCGCCAAAGGAUCGGCCCGCGUCUGAUUAGCUAGUUGGUGGGGUAACGGCGUCACCAAGGCGACGAUCAGUAGCUGGUCUGAGAGGAUGACCAGCCUCAUUGGGACUGAGACACGGCCAAACUCCUACGGGAGGCAGCAGUGGGAAGUAUUGGACAAUGGGCGCAAGCCUGAUCCAGCCAUGCCGCGU
rnacentral:rRNA from 1 species